rnacentral:lncRNA from 1 species
UCCAAGAGUUGCAUAAAAUAUGCAGCAUCUUUCCUUCUUAUUUCAACAUAAUUUCUUUUUUUUUUUACAGAAUAUUUUAAGGGUCUCAUGUUCCCCAAUGCAAAUUUUGGUUGGACGUGCCCUAAAUUCAUCCUUUGAAAAAGAUUUUGACUGCCAUACGGACUUCAUAGGUAAAGCACUUCUUGCUUAAUUAAGCAAUAUGUAUAUGAUCAGAUGAAGACUUAGUUAUUGUAAACAGUGAUGGACUACACAAAUUGGAAUCUGUGUCAAACAUGUUAUAGCCUAAUCUUCUGUGACAGAUCACUGAAAGGACUUACCGGUUUAGCUGCAGGGGCCAGGAGAUCAUCAGGAACUUGGACCUCUCACCAUAUCAGUGCAAUUGAACAAGCUCCGUUGUGAAGACACCAUCCCCUCAUGAAUGUGAAAAGUCCUGAAUGCGUCCUCCAAGGGUUUCAAGGUUAUAGCAGUUAUCAUCUGAAAGAGGGCAAGAAGCCUCAAGUCUCGCCAGAGAAAAUUCCAGAUGUUUUUACAAGAAGAAAACACUUGCAGAAAUUUGGCUUCAUUACCUUUUGCUUCCCUUUCUGGUUUCAGUUGUUAGCAAAAACCUGGAGUGGUUGUGAUGGUUGUUUGCAAAGGUUGAGUGUGAACUGAUCUUGGCUCAGUUUGAAAACUUUGAUAUUUGAUGUUUGUAUUCAAAAUGGAAACAAAAGAGUUAAAAAGGAUGAUACAAGAUUGAGGGAGGAUAAUAAGACUUUACAGAACUUACUAGCAUACUUACAUAUUUUCUGCCCCAAAGUUGCUUGUUAUGAUGUUGACUUGUGCUUUGUAUGUUUAUCUCCAUACCUCUUUUGGUUUAAAGUUAAUUCUAAUUAAAACCCUAAUUAUUGAUAUUUGUGUUUACCAGGACUGGUGUUUGGCUUUGCAGUCUUUGAGUGUAAUCUCAUUUUGCUUGUUAAUUGGUCUGCACUAUUAGCUCAUUUUAAAAUGCUCAGAAAAAUUCCGGAGACAAAUGAGCAUAAUUAAAUCAGAGCAUUGGUCACUUCUU